rnacentral:rRNA from 1 species
UUCCAGACUCCUACGGGAGGCAGCAGUGGGGGAUAUUGCACAAUGGGGGGAACCCUGAUGCAGCGACGCCGCGUGGGUGAAGGAGCGUUUCGGCGCGUAAAGCCCUCUCGGCAGGGAAGAAGGAGGACGGUACCUGACUAAGAAGCCCCGGCUAACUACGGGCCAGCAGCCGCGGUAAUACGUAGGGGGCAAGCGUUAUCCGGAUUUACUGGGUGUAAAGGGAGGGUAGGCGGCCUGCCAAGUCUGAUGUGAAAUACCGGGGCUCAACCCCGGGGCUGCAUUGGAAACUGACAGGCUGGAGUGUCGGAGAGGCAGGCGGAAUUCCUAGUGUAGCGGUGAAAUGCGUAGAUAUUAGGAGGAACACCAGUGGCGAAGGCGGCCUGCUGGACGAUGACUGACGCUGAGGCUCGAAAGCGUGGGGAGCAAACAGGAUUAGAUACCCGAGUAAU